ensembl:lincRNA
CUCAGAGCAAGGCCCCUUUCUCUUUAACUGAUUGGGUGGAUUGCCUGCCUUUUAUCCAUUACCUAUUCUUUAAGCUUUCUUUAUGGGCUAAUUUUCCAUGUGCCUAAUAUGCAUUUAUGUGUGUUUAUGCUCUUGCACAACACAUAUUUUUUGUAUAUUUUACAAGAAAUACCAAAUUAUUAAUUCAGGGACUCUCAAGUUACUGUUCUGUGCCUAAGGAAAGCUCCCAAGCUGUAAUGUAUAUCCUGAAUUUUUCAUUUUUGAGGUGAAGUUGUGAGAUUUAUCCCAAGCUCCAAAUAAAGAAACCAGUACAG